UUCGCCUCCUGCUGCUCGUGUAACCGUAUUAUUUUUGCUCUUUCAAAUUUUUUUAUUGUUAUUUUAGAUACUUGCAGAAAUAUUUAAUAGUUUGAUGUGAACUCCCUCAAAGCUUUAACACAAAAUUAUAUGUGCGUUUUAAGCUCAGUUCUCUGUAAAAAAAGUUUUCUUUUGGGGUUCCCCCUUUAUUUGUUGUACAUGGGGCACUAAUUAGCGCUACACCACGCCUGAAAGCUGUGUGCUUUCCCGGGCUAUUCAGUCACACGGUGACCGCUGGACUGGAGAGGGAGAGAGAGCGUGAGCCUGUCUGCCUGCGUGCGUGUGUGUUAUGCUAACUCUGCCCCAUGUUUUGUGCUCAGGUAUGUUUUACUAGUAGUUUAAGUGUUUACAACUAGUUUUUAAUCCAGAAUUUUGAUGGAUUUAGUCAGUUUAAGUAAUUUAGUUCUAAAAAUGGCCACUUGUUGCUCAUUGUGAUUUAAUAUAUGUCUCCAUAUGUGAUAAAUAUACCCUCUUGUGUAGUGUUCUAUAUAAUUUUAUACGGUAUCCAAGGUCUCUAUCUGGCCAGUUUAAAUUAGCUUGAGUUUACAUUGUAAUGCAUUUUAUUUACAGUAUAAAAUAUUUACAUUUUAUUUACUGUAUAAAAUAUUUUCAUUUUAUCUACAAUACAAAAUAUUAACAUUUUAUGUACACUGUGUGAUAUUUACGUGUGUUCUGGUUGUGAUAUCUCCGCGGCUGGUUUUGUUUAUUUCUUCUACCGAUCCUCUGUUGUGCUCGAUGUGGGGUUGGACUUGGUUGAAUUGAUGUAAAAAAAAAAAAAAAAAAAAAGGAAAACUGACACAGUCACACGGUGACCGCUGGACUGGAGAGGGAGAGAGAGCGUGAGCCUGUCUGCCUGCGUGCGUGUGUGUUAUGCUAACUCUGCCCCAUGUUUUGUGCUCAGUUCCAGCAAUAAAAUCCUGAAGUCUGACUCUCCAUUGUGGUGUGGCUGAUCUCUGAUUGUCCGAACCUGUUUACGUCUGCUACACUCGCGAACACCGCCCGGAAACAAAAGGACAUUUUAAAGUCGUGGAGAAACAAAUAAGAAGCUGCAGUCGCGGGAUUUGGUCAAAAUCUUUCCGUCUCGCCCAGAAUAUCUGAUCAAAUCAGCCGACUGAGUACAAGGGACCGUCUGUAAAGUGCGGGACUGCGUCAACGUUGGUUUGGACCACGUUGAUUUCUACCGGCUGCUGAGACCUCGACGAGAACUAGUUAAGGGGCCGUCUACAAAGUACACUACAGUAAAGUUGCAAGUCGGGUGAAGACCAGCGGGGGAAAAGCACGUUAUUAAAACUCAGCCUUAUGGGCCACAGAAUGUCUGCCGAUCACAACAUGGAAUUAAAGUUUUAGAAAAGAGCUGUA